AAGAGAAAAGCAGUGUUGGUGUGCAACUAUCUUGAAAUUAGGAGGAGGGGGUUCGAGUCCCUCAUCUCUUG
rnacentral:tRNA from 1 species